UCUCCAUCUUGCGAUCAAUGAAUUAUAGAACAAGACGAUGAAAGUUUCAAAUGAUUUAUUAUUUUAUUGUAGAUAUGUGUAAAUUUAAUCACUAAAAAUAUCAAAUAUCAAUUAAUUAUAAUUGAAGGCCGACAUGGCCACUCCGCCCCAUCCAAGUUGGGCCCAAGCGCCCCCGUCUAGAAACGAGGCACGUGAAAAAUCGCUAUGGGCUGAAAGCCCUAUGAUUCAAAUUUGGGCCUCGAAGAAAAUUUGUCUGACGAUCCAUUUCCCAUUUGUAAAUUCGGCCUGAAAUCUCUGGCGACGGCACCAAGUCGUUCCCCCAUGCUUGCCGUUCACUUCCCGGUGCCACUUCUCCUACUCACCGAACCGAGCGUUUUCGGAACUCAAACAAUUCUUAGUUUCAAGCAGAAUUUCGAACAAGAGCUGUCCAUCGUCGUUCAAUUUGGAAACUUGUAAGGUUUAGAUGGCUCCAUCCUGCGGUAAGAGCCUCCAUUCGUUGGGAGUGGAUCUCAUUGAGAUCUUCGGUACUUUGGUGAGGAGUUAUGCAAUCUGUGUGGCUAAUUCUAACAGUUUUUGUCUUCUAUAAGUUGCUGGCAUGGUUUCACUUUGAUAAUCUUGAAGUGGAGGUAUCAAGGUUUGUAAAUGUCUUAUAUGCUGUUAAAAUAGUCCGAGUAGGAUUCUUUGCCCUACCUUUCUCGGUGUCAAUGUCGUAUGGUUGAUACUGUUGAUACCAAUGGUAUGCUUUGCUUACUUUACCAGCUAGUAUCAGCACAACAGUUCUAUACAUAUAUAUAUACACAUUAUAUAUUAUUCGAUUAUUGUAAACUUAAAUUUCUGCACGAAUUUGUAUUCUAGGACGUGAUAUUUUGGAAGUGGCACAAUUUUUGUGCUAGAAAUCCAGAUAGGCAGCGAAGAAAGCAAGAAGAGAGCUAGAGGAGAAGAAAGGAGGGUGUGGUCUCGCAGCGGAACGGAGAUCCUCUUCUGCGCCCUAAUCUUGGAAUCUGAAUUCAUGGGUUCAGAUAAUGCAAUUCCGGGAAAAGAAAGAACCUCGCUUCGCCCCGCGAAAGAUCACCCACUCCGCGGUUCAAAGAAUUUGAGAAGUCGGUCUUUCUCCUCUGGGGGAAUCCUCCCCCUUGCCUUGACUUUCUCCGGCUUUCUCUUUUGUCUUCCUUCCGGCCGGCGGCCUUUGCCUUAGUUCGUGGUAGAUCCGAGGAGAUCGUAGAUCGGAUCGGUACAACUGAAAAAAGAAAAAUAAAAAGAAGAACUGUUGAACCAUCUAGCUAAACGAACUCUCCUAGUGAGUGUCCCCUAAAAUUAUUAAUGCUUAUUUAAUGCAACAAACAAAAUGUAUUUCAAUCCCACAACACCAAGCUCAUUUAUAUCAAUACUUUUUCCAGCUUGGUUCUUUGGCUCAAAA